rnacentral:rRNA from 1 species
AGAACGAACGCUGGCGGCGUGGAUAAGACAUGCAAGUCGAACGCGAUUUAUCAGGUUAGCAAUAACUUGGUAAAUUGAGUGGCGAAAGGGUGCGUAACACGUGGGAAUUUACCAAGAAGUGGGGAAUAGCUCGACGAAAGUCGAAUUAAUACCGCAUACGAUCGAAAGAUCAAAGCCGGGGACCGCAAGGCCUGGCGCUUUUUUGAGAAGCCCGCGGCCCAUCAGCUAGUUGGCGGGUAACGGCCCACCAAGGCUAUGACGGGUAGCUGGUCUGAGAGGACGACCAGCCACACUGGAACUGAGACACGGUCCAGACACCUACGGGUGGCAGCAGUCGAGAAUUUUUUCACAAUGGAC